rnacentral:lncRNA from 1 species
CCAUCAUAAUUAGAAGUACUGCUCUUCCUAUUCCAACUGCUUUUCCUAUUCCACAGAAGCUGUGUGAGGAAGUAUGCAAAAGACUAUGAAGUGGUUAGAUACAAUGUGAAAAUCUGUCUUAGAACAAAGGACACUCAUUUACUUAACUGUUUAAUAUAAACGUCCACUUUUCAGUCUUCAUUUUUUGUUCUGUUCAUAGACACUGGAAAUAAAUAAGUACUUUCAGAGCACAAAGCACCUCAUACUGAAGAAGAUGAUCAGAAAUCAGUCACCCGAAUGACAUUCUGACUGGUUGUUUCUCUCCACUGACUCCAAAGGAAAUCACAGUUUGACAUAUUAGAUUCAAGCUUGGACUUACUGGAAAGAGUAAAGUCUAUCUAACUUCCUGGCUUCAAACACCAGACCUGAGGAGAAGUUGUAGAUCUGUACUUAAUAAAGAUGCAAGGAUAAAAUGUACACCACAUCAAAGACCUUGUGAAAAACUCAUACAGAAAAAUUCCACAAUUCCUGAAACACUGGGGCUCUCCAACCCUAUUUUCAGAAGGGAACUUACACAACACCUCUGGAAAACUCAUGGCCUGUCCUACAGGGUACAGGUAUUGAGAGUAAUAUUAAUAGCCAAAGAAACAAGUCAAGUGUCAUUUUUGCU